rnacentral:rRNA from 1 species
UACGUAGGGUGCGAGCGUUGUCCGGAAUUAUUGGGCGUAAAGGGCUCGUAGGCGGUCUGUUGCGUCAGGAGUGAAAACUCGGGGCUUAACCCCGAGCCUGCUUCUGAUACGGGCAGACUAGAGGUAUGCAGGGGAGAACGGAAUUCUUGGUGUAGCGGUGAAAUGCGUAGAUAUCAAGAGGAACACCUGAGGUGAAGACGGGUUGCUGGGCUGACACUGACGCUGAGGCGCGAAAGCCAGGGGAGCAAACGGG